UACGUAGGGCGCAAGCGUUAAUCGGAAUUACUGGGCGUAAAGCGUGCGCAGGCGGUUUUGUAAGCCAGAUGUGAAAUCCCCGGGCUUAACCUGGGAAUGGCAUUUGGGACUGCAAGGCUUGAGUGCGGCAGAGGAGACUGGAAUUCCUGGUGAGCAGUGAAAUGCGUAGAUAUCAGGAGGAACACCGAUGGCGAAGGCAGGUCUCUGGGCUGACACUGACGCUCAUGCACGAAAGCGUGGGAGCAAACAGG
rnacentral:rRNA from 1 species